rnacentral:tRNA from 1 species
GAAGCUGCUGGCCGAGCUGGUGCGGCAAAGGAAGAAGGUCUAUCUGCUGCUGGACAACGCCAGCGGCCCCGAGUUCGAGCCCCGGCGGCUCAUC